UCCUACGGGGCGCAGCAGUAGGGAAUUUGCGUCAAUGGGCGCAAGCCUGAACGAGCAAUGCCGCGUGAACGAGGAAGGUCUUCGGAUCGUAAAGUUCUGUUGAAGGGGAAAAAGAGCGGAGAGAGGAAAUGGUCUCCGAUUGAUAUUACCCUUCGAGGAAGUCACGGCUAACUACGUGCCAGCAGCCGCGGUAAUACGCAGGUGGCGAGCGUUAUCCGGAAUGAUUGGGCGUAAAGGGUGCGUAGGCGGCCUGCUAAGUCUGGAGUGAAAGGUACCGGCUCAACCGGUACAGGCUCUGGAAGCUG
rnacentral:rRNA from 1 species